CGGCGCCAGGAGGCGAGGGCGGCUCCGGCGGCGCCCAUCCCCCUCUCCACUAGCAGCUGUUCUCGGAAUCCUUCUGGAUGCAACUUCAUUUCCCCUGGGGAGACUCUCCUGACCCUCCAGUCUGGGUUAGUCGCAUCCUGUGUGCUCUCAGACCCUGAGCUUUUCUCUGUCACAGCCUGAUCAAGCUGAAUCAUCUGUCCCUCUGUGCAAGGCUGGCACACUGCCCAAGGUGGAUCUUGACUGCCUUUCGUUUCAUUCACCAUUUACUGAAGUUGUGUGUGCGUGUGUAUACCAGACCCCACGCUAAGGACUGGGGAAAAGGAUGAUCAUACCUGGCUUGUUCCUGAUAGAGCCCAGAGACCACCUGGGAAGACAAGUAAUCAGUUCACAAGUCUUCAGGUUGAAAAGCUACACCCUAGGAACUACAGCUGAGGAGCCCACCUCCACAUCUGGAACUUAUUCAGAUGAUGAGAUCAUGGACCUUGAUCCUGAGUCUGACGCUGUAAUGUGCUGAAUUUUGCUGGGUGGGUAAGAGUAUCAAGGAGUGCCUCCUCUUGAGUCUGGGUGGCCUCUGCGAUUGCUUUGACCAAUAGAAUACUGCAGAAGUGACACUGUGCUACUUUCCAAGCCCAGGAAAUUCAGACUGGUAACUACUAUUUCCUGCCUCUUGGGAACACUGUCCCUUGGAGCCCACCACGUAUUUGGCUGGAGAGAUCAUAUUAAAACUACACGGAGAGAUAGAGGGGCCUAAAUGAAGCCAGCUUUCCAGCCACUCCUGCCAAGGCUUAAGGAAUAUGAGUGAAGGCUCAAGGCAUGUGAGUGAAUACCAUGCAGUGACCCCAACUGACUUCAUGUGGAACAGCAGAAGUGACCUGCCUAGCCCUGACUGAAUACCUGACCCACACAAUUAUGAGAAAUAAUAAAAUGGUUGUUGGGUUAAGCCACUAAGCUUUGGGGUAGUUUGUUACAUAGCAGUGGAUGACUGAAAUACUCCAUGACUUUGGGUCAGUGUCUCCUCUCUAGAACUAUUUCCCCAACUUCAGCAGUGUUAGGCUAGGUUAGGUGAACUCUAAAGGCCUUUAUAGCUCUGAUUUUCAGUUCCGAUGAAGACUAGUUGAAGUAGGUUGGGCUGCUUCUGAUGGCAUGUAGACAUUUGUUGGAUUACCAGAGGAACACACAAUUUAUAUAAUUAGGUACGC
rnacentral:lncRNA from 1 species